AUCUAAAUAGCUUAUAAUUAGAGCAUAAUAUUGAAGAUAUUAAAGAGAUAAAUUUAUCUUUAGAUA
rnacentral:tRNA from 1 species